UGGGGAAUAUUGGGCAAUGGGGGAAACCCUGACCCAGCAACGCCGCGUGAAGGAAGAAGGUUUUCGGAUCGUAAACUUUUGUCCUUGGGGAAGAAGAAGAUGACGGUACCCAGGGAGGAAGCCCCGGCUAACUACGUGCCAGCAGCCGCGGUAAUACGUAGGGGGCGAGCGUUGUCCGGAAUUAUUGGGCGUAAAGGGCGCGUAGGCGGCUUAGUAAGUCCCGUGUGAAAUCCCCGGUUUCAAGCCGGGGCGUGCAUAGGAAACUAUUGAGCUUGAGUGCAGGAGAGGAAAGCGGAAUUCCCAGUGUAGCGGUGAAAUGCGUAGAUAUUGGGAGGAACACCAGUGGCGAAGGCGGCUUUCUGGACUGCAACUGACGCUGAGGCGCGAGGGCGUGGGGAGCAAACA
rnacentral:rRNA from 1 species